rnacentral:rRNA from 1 species
GACGAACCGUCCAAACGUUAUUCGGAAUCACUGGGCUUACAGAGUUCGUAGGCGGUCCCAAAAGUUAGGUGUGAAAUCCCUCGGCUCAACCGAGGAACUGCGCUUAAAACUGUGGGACUCGAGGGAGAUAGAGGAAAGCGGAACUGAUGGUGGAGCGGUGAAAUGCGUUGAUAUCAUCAGGAACACCGGUGGCGAAGGCGGCUUUCUGGGUCUUACCUGACGCUGAGGAACGAAAGCUAGGGGAGCGAACGGGAUUAGAUACCCGGUAGUCC